GAUGAACGCUGGCGGCGUGCCUAAUACAUGCCAGUCGAGCGAACAGACGCGGAGCUUGCUCCUCUGACGUUAGCGGCGGACGGGUGAGUAACACGUGGAUAACCUACCUAUAAGACUGGGAUAACUUCGGGAAACCGGAGCUAAUACCGGAUAAUAUAUUGAACCGCAUGGUUCAAUAGUGAAAGACGGUUUUGCUGUCACUUAUAGCUGGAUCCGCGCCGCAUUAGCUAGUUGGUAAGGUAACGGCUUACCAAGGCAACGAUGCGUAGCCGACCUGAGAGGGUGAUCGGCCACACUGGAACUGAGACACGGUCCAGACUCCUACGGGAGGCAGCAGUAGGGAAUCUUCCGCAAUGGGCGAAAGCCUGACGGAGCAACGCCGCGUGAGUGAUGAAGGUCUUCGGAUCGUAAAACUCUGUUAUUAGGGAAGAACAAAUGUGUAAGUAACUAUGCACGUCUUGACGGUACCUAAUCAGAAAGCCACGGCUAACUACGUG
rnacentral:rRNA from 1 species